rnacentral:piRNA from 1 species
UGAUAAAUUGUAAAAUGUCUCCUUACAUCAU